rnacentral:pre_miRNA from 1 species
AAUAAGUACAGUUUUGCACUAUUCACGUUCAAUGUUUAACUGUUCGUCUUAUUUGAAAAUUUUUUAUGAUUAGUAUUUUUAUUGCUAUUAGAUGAUAAAACAUGAAUAGUACUCUAUGUGUGACUAAAUAUCUUUAAAUUUGGUCAAACGUUGUGCACGGAUAUUCACGGCUGCACUUAUU